rnacentral:tRNA from 1 species
AAGGAUAUUACGGAAUGACCAUUAGGUCAUGGAAUAACGAAGACAUAUUGUAUUCAGUUUUGAAUGUUUAURACAUUCAAYUUAAGAAUGGGCCUAUAGCUCAGCUGGUUAGAGCGCACGCCUGAUAAGCGUGAGGUCGAUGGUUCGAGUCCAUUUAGGCCCACCAUUWUAAAUUUAAUUCCCAAUUAGGGGGCUUAGCUCAGAUGGGAGAGCGCCUGCUUUGCACGCAGGAGGUCAGCGGUUCGAUCCCGCUAGUCUCCACCAUAUUAUAUUGUACAUUGAAAACUAGAUAAGUAAGUAAAAUAGAUUUUACCAAGCAAAAAACCGAGUGAAUUUCUAACGAAAUUCAACAAGCUUAAUAAUCGCGCGUCGUCUUUAUAGACGACAUCACAGAUUAAUAACUCGUAAAACUGGUAAACAAGUAUCUUUAUUGAUAUGUUUGACCAAGCUUUUACAC